rnacentral:rRNA from 1 species
UACGUAGGGUGCAAGCGUUAAUCGGAAUUACUGGGCGUAAAGCGCACGUAGGCGGAUUUGUAAGUCAGGGGUGAAAUCCCGGGGCUCAACCUCGGAACUGCCUUUGAUACUGCAAAUCUCGAGUCCGGAAGAGGUGAGUGGAAUUCCUAGUGUAGAGGUGAAAUUCGUAGAUAUUAGGAAGAACACCAGUGGCGAAGGCGGCUCACUGGUCCGGUACUGACGCUGAGGUGCGAAAGCGUGGGGAGCAAACAGGG